rnacentral:rRNA from 1 species
AUUGAACGCUGGCGGCAUGCCUUACACAUGCAAGUCGAACGGCAGCACGGGAGCAAUCCUGGUGGCGAGUGGCGAACGGGUGAGUAAUAUAUCGGAACGUGCCCAGUCGUGGGGAUAACGUAGCGAAAGCUACGCUAAUACCGCACACGAUCUAUGGAUGAAAGCGGGGGAUCGCAAGACCUCGCGCGAUUGGAGCGGCCGAUAUCAGAUUAGGUAGUUGGUGAGGUAAAGGCUCACCAAGCCGACGAUCUGUAGCUGGUCUGAGAGGACGACCAGCCACACUGGGACUGAGACACGGCCCAGACUCCUACGGGAGGCAGCAGUGGGGGAAUUUUUGGGACAAUGGGCGCAAGCCUGAUCCAGCAAUGCCGCGUGCAGGA